rnacentral:rRNA from 1 species
UACGUAGGGUCCAAGCGUUAUCCGGAAUCACUGGGCGUAAAGCGUGCGUAGGUGGAUUGUUAAGUGCGGUGCGAAAUCCUGUGGCUCAACCCUCGGAUGCCGGUGGAUACUGUCGGGCUCGAGUACGGAAGAGGCGAGUGGAAUUCCUGGUGUAGCGGUGAAAUGCGCAGAUAUCAGGAGGAACACCUAUUGCGAAGGCAGCUCGCUGGGACGUUACUGACGCUGAGACGCGAAAGCGUGGGGAGCAAACAGG